GACCUAUUUCUAGGUCCUUGAUACCUCCUCAGGGGCUGGGGAGUUGGGACUUAGUGGAUGCCUGCUAAGAGGAAGGAAUUAUCACCCAGAUGUCCAGGAUGGGCUGAAUAUGAGAUAUUGAAAAUGAAGCUGAAGGCCUGACUGACAGCCCCAACAUCCCAACACACUGAGGCAAAGCAGGCCUGGGGACCACCAAGGUGACAGGUCUGGGCAGAUUGGGGAGCGUUGUGGAAGCUCUUCAAGACUGGCACAGUAGACUGCUAGGGAGACUUCUUCAAAGUCCCCACUUUUCAUUAAGAACAUAGUACUGCCUUUGA
rnacentral:lncRNA from 1 species